AACAUACGCAAAAAAAUAUAUAAACCCUGGGGAUUUUCCUCGACGCCGCCAUGCACAACCUCCUCCGCUUCUCCUCUCCGACUCUCCCUCACCUCUCCUCUUCAAGUUAGAAGAGGAGAGAGCCUACUCUCCACUUCAUCACCACCAUCAGGCCACCUCCUCUCCUCUUCGGAUUAAAAGAGGGAAAACCGACAGCCACCUUCGGAGAGCUUCAUUUCCACCACCGGCUCCACAUCCACAGCCCCUUCUUCUCUUCGGGUUAGAAGACAAGAGGAGCUUCUUCAUCAUCCGUCCAUCCACCUCUUCAGGUUAGAAGAAGGAAGACCUGACAACUCGCUCCAUCCAUCUCUGGUAGUCCACCUCUUUGGGUUAGAAGAAGAGGAUUCGUCCUCCGUUCUGAUCCGCAUAUGACAACCCCUCUUCCGUCUCCUCUUUGGUUUAGAAGAGAAGUGGGCAUCCACUUUAUCUUCUGACAACCCCUCUUCUCUUCAGGUUAGAACAGAAGAGGCCCUCCUUCCGUGCUUUAAUCAGCCCCUUCCGAAGCUCCAUCCGCAACUGUGUCCGUUCACUUCCCUUUAAGUUCCCACUGAUAGAAAAUUCGUGGAAGAACCUAAUCGAUAAUCCAAAUGACUGGUGGACUACAUAUCAACAAAGCCAAACGAGAAAUAUCCUGAUUUUGAGCACAAGGAGACUGACGAAACUUUGUGGCUUAGUACUUAGAGCACUCCUGAAUGAGUUUCGUCGAAGUUGCCCCUAGCUGAGAUAGUGUCAUAAGCAGAAAUGUUCUCUUUUAAGCUUUUGGUGCAUAUAUUGAUUCAAAUGUUAUAAUUCUCCAUCAUAAUAAGUUCUUUGGAUGUGAACUUGAUGGUGUGAUUUUUAUUGGUUGUGUUACUUGUUGUUAGACUUGUGAAUUUGUUACUUGUUGAUAGAGUUGUGUUAUUUAUUUAUUGUGUUGUUAGAGUUGUAUGAGUUUUUUGUGAAUGUUGUUAGAGUUGUGAAUGUUUUGUGAACUUGAUGAUGUAGAAAUAUGAGUUAUU